GGGAAUGUGGCUCAAUGAUAGAGUGCUUGCCUAGUAUGCAUGAAGCCCUGGGUUCGAUUCCUCAGUACCA
rfam:Dipodomys ordii contig_51160, whole genome shotgun sequence.